rnacentral:rRNA from 1 species
AAAGGCGACGACGGGGUAGCCGGCCUGAGAGGGUGACCGGCCACACUGGGACUGAGAUACGGCCCAGACUCCUACGGGAGGCAGCAGUGGGGAAUAUUGCACAAUGGGCGCAAGCCUGAUGCAGCGACGCCGCGUGAGGGAUGCCGGCCUUCGGGUUGUAAACCUCUUUCAGUAGGGACGAAGCGAAAGUGACGGUACCUACAGAAGAAGGACCGGCCAACUACGUGCCAGCAGCCGCGGUAAUACGUAGGGUCCGAGCGUUGUCCGGAAUUACUGGGCGUAAAGAGCUCGUAGGUGGUUUGUCGCGUUGUUCGUGAAAACUCACAGCUUAACUGUGGGCGUGCGGGCGAUACGGGCAGACUAGAGUACUGCAGGGGAGACUGGAAUUCCUGGUGUAGCGGUGGAAUGCGCAGAUAUCAGGAGGAACACCGGUGGCGAAGGCGGGUCUCUGGGCAGUAACUGACGCUGAGGAGCGAAAGCGUGGGUAGCGAACAGGAUUAGAUACCCUGGUAGUCCACGCCGUAA